rnacentral:rRNA from 1 species
GAUGAACGCUGGCGGCGUGCUUAACACAUGCAAGUCGAGCGGGCAAUUUAUCUAGCACUGAUUACUUCAAAUGGAAAUCAUAAGUGUAAUCAUGAAUUUCUACCUUUAAUAAAGAAAAAGAAAUUCAUGUACGCAAAUAGUGAUAACACAUUUUAGUGGAGUGAUGAGUGCUGGAUAAAUUGCUAGCGGCGGACGGGUGCGUAACACGUGGGUAACCUGCCUCAAAGUGGGGGAUAGCCUUCCGAAAGGAAGAUUAAUACCGCAUAAGCCUACAGUACCGCAUGGUACAGCAGGAAAAGGAGCAAUCCGCUUUGAGAUGGACCCGCGGCGCAUUAGCUAGUUGGUGAGGUAACGGCUCACCAAGGCCACGAUGCGUAGCCGACCUGAGAGGGUGAUCGGCCACAUUGGAACUGAGACACGGUCCAGACUCCUACGGGAGGCAGCAGUGGGGAAU